GUUGUAGUCUGGAGAAGUGCUUUCCGCGCUGGACCGUGUACAAGUCUCUUGGAAUAGAGCGUCAUAGAGGGUGAGAAUCCCGUCUUUGACACGGACUACCAGUGCUUUGUGAUGCGCUCUCAAAGAGUCGAGUUGUUUGGGAAUGCAGCUCAAAAUGGGUGGUAAAUUCCAUCUAAAGCUAAAUAUUGGCGAGAGACCGAUAGCGAACAAGUACCGUGAGGGAAAGAUGAAAAGCACUUUGGAAAGAGAGUUAAACAGUACGUGAAAUUGCUGAAAGGGAAACGCUUGAAGUCAGUCGCGUCGUGUGGGACUCAGCCUUGCUUUUGCUUGGUGCACUUCCUGCAUGACGGGCCAGCAUCAAUUUCGACCGUUGGAUAAGGGCCGAAGGAAUGUGGCACCUCCGGGUGUGUUAUAGCCUUCGGUCGCAUACAACGAUUGGGAUUGAGGAACGCAGCGUGCCGCAAGGUAACGUUUGAGGAUGCUGGCAUAAUGGCUUUAAACGACCCGUCUUGAAACACGGACCAAGGAGUCUAACAUGCCUGCGAGUGUUUGGGUGGAAAACCCGAGCGCGUAAUGAAAGUGAAAGUUGAGACCUCUGUCGUGGAGGGCAUCGACGCCCGGACCAGACGUUUUCUGACGGAUCCGCGGUAGAGCAUGUAUGUUGGGACCCGAAAGAUGGUGAACUAUGCCUGAAUAGGGUGAAGCCAGAGGAAACUCUGGUG
rnacentral:rRNA from 2 species